rnacentral:rRNA from 1 species
AGUGAACGCUGGCGGUAGGCCUAACACAUGCAAGUCGAACGGCAGCACAGUAAUAGCUUGCUCUUACGGGUGGCGAGUGGCGGACGGGUGAGGAAUACAUCGGAAUCUACUUUUUCGUGGGGGAUAACGUAGGGAAACUUACGCUAAUACCACAUACGACCUACGGGGGAAAGCAGGGGAUCUUCCGACCUUGCGCGAUUGAAUGAGCCGAUGUCGGAUUAGCUAGUUGGGGGGGUAAAGGCCCACCAAGGCGACGAUCCGUAGCUGGUCUGAGAGGAUGAUAAGCCACACUGGAACUGAGACACGGACCAGACUCCUACGGGAGGCAGCAGUGGGGAAUAUUGGACAAUGGGCGGAAGCCUGAUACAGCCAUAGCGAGUGGGUGAAGAAGGCCUUCGGGUUGUAAAGCCGUUUUGUUGGGAAAGAAAAGCAGCAGGUUAAUACCACGCUGUUCUGACGGUACCCAAAGAAUAAGCACCGGCUAACUUCGUG